rnacentral:rRNA from 1 species
UACGGAGGGUGCGAGCGUUGUCCGGAAUCACUGGGCGUAAAGGGCGCGUAGGCGGCGCGGAUAGUCGGCGGUGAAAGCCCGGAGCUCAACUCCGGGUCGGCCGUCGAUACUUCCGGGCUUGAGCACUGUAGAGGCAGAUGGAAUUCCGGGUGUAGCGGUGGAAUGCGUAGAGAUCCGGAAGAACACCGGUGGCGAAGGCGGUCUGCUGGGCAGU